AUAAUGUUUAUACAAGAUUGCGCGAGAACAACAUAACCUAUAUCUAUAAUAUAAUACAGCUAUUUUCUAACAAUUUUUAUUGUAGUGCAAACACAUAAUUAAAUAUAAUCCUAUGCAUAUGCUAAUGUAUAAUGUAUACGAUUUAUAUACAACGUCAAUAAUUAAUAUUAUACAAUACAAUAUUGCGAUUCGUACACGGCGGGAGAGUUUCGAAAGUUGUACAAUAUAUCUGUUCCCGCGAUAUACAAUGAUAUAUAUAUAUAUAUAUCAUGAAUUUAAUUAACUAUAUUAAAAUUUACGGUUAUUUAAAUUAACAUUACCGCGUGUUUAUAGGACUCGUUAAGUAUAAUAAUAUAUAGGUACACGGUCACGUUGCGAUAUAUUGGAUUAUAGUACAAAACCGAUCAUGUAUAAUAGUAUCAUAUUAUUAAUCACUAAUAAUGAUAAAAAUAAAAAUAAAAAUAAAAAUAAAAAUAAUAAUCAUAAAAAUUAUAAUAAUAAAAAUAAUAAUUAUAAUAAUAAUGUUAUAUUAUUAUUUUAUCGUUUCGCGCACGCGUUUCACGGUCAGUGGCUCGUAUACAUAUAUACGAAAUACACGGUCGCGUCGUAACGCAACAAACAGGGGUCGUAGCGCGCGCGCGCGUAAACAAUCCCCCAAAUAGGGGAAGGGGGUUAAGG